rnacentral:ncRNA from 18 species
CGGAGUAGGGAUUAAAGCGUUAAGUGCUGGUGGAACGGAAUGUGAACACCAGACGAAGAGCAGUAAUGCUCGCGGUUUUAGUCCCGCAUUCGCCG